GAAAGAGAUAUAGAGACUUCCAAGAUUGAUGUCAGCCUUAUUAGGUAGAUGAGACAGGAAGAACAACCAGGCAAGCAGACUUCAUUCUACUAGCAGAAAUGUUGAUUUUGCCUGCAACUCCAGCAGACGGCACUCACAAUUUCACUGCUCCCUACAACUAUCUGAGGCCAAACCAGAGUCUGAAAAAUCAAGGACCAUCUUCAGCUUUACCUGACAAGAUAGAUCUUUUUGCAGACAGAUCAUCAUAUAACCAUUAUUACAAGGUUGUCCUAACUAUCAUUGCUUUCAAAGGAAGUGGGGAAACUUUGCUAUAUAUACAAAAAUAUAACUACAGGCUUUAGUAUGUAUUACAAAUCGUCUGGAAAGUUACUGUAACUGACCAAGCUAUAUUAAAACACUUUGCACAGCUA